rnacentral:lncRNA from 1 species
GAAUCCUCCCAAGUAUCCCUGUGAGGGUUGGAUUGAGGGAACAAUAAUUAUUUGACACUAACAUUAGGCCAACAGCCACACAAGUAGCAAGAAAGAGAUAACAAAGGAAUACUUUAUUCCAAAGGUCCGUACAUGUUCCAUAAAAAGCUUAUUACAAGAUAAUUUUAUUUGGACAAAGUUUAUUACAGUAAGAAAAAAAUACAAGACUUGAGUCC